rnacentral:rRNA from 1 species
UACGUAGGCAGCAAGCGUUGUUCGGAGUUACUGGGCGUAAAGGGUGCGUAGGCGGUCCUAUAAGUUUGGUGUGAAAUCUCCCGGCUCAACUGGGAGGGUGCGCCGAAUACUGAGAGGCUAGAGUGCGGGAGAGGAAAGUGGAAUUCCUGGUGUAGCGGUGAAAUGCGUAGAUAUCAGGAGGAACACCGGUGGUGUAAACGGCUUUCUGGACCGUAACUGACGCUGAGGCACGAAAGCGUGGGUAGCAAACAGG